UGCACUGCGGAUAGCACCAAACUCUUACGGAAAAGCCACAAUUAUAGGAGAAAAUUUUUUAGCCAAAUUUAGCAGCAGUUUGGCAACAACCACCCUUCCAGUCUGGCAACCACUUAUGCAACGCCAAAAGGAACCUUGCCUGCCACAAAAAGGCAUAGAGAAGAGUGUUCCAAGUUCAAAUCAGCACGUAUUUUCUUUUACGUUUAUCCAACGACUUAAACUUUUUUUUUUUUUCAAAUUAUGUGGACGCAUUUGUAAUGGACUUGCCACCAAAAUUCCAAGCUCUCAUUUUUGGAGGAGGUGCUGGGUAUCGAAAGGUAGUAAGGGAUCACGGCCAAAGAGAAGAUAAAAUGGAACAACAUGGCCAAAUGACUAAAGUACGUGCCACUUCUGGAUGGAAAUUGCGCAUUCAAGAAUGGUUGCGAAAUGUAAAAGGAAGAUAUUGGCAUUCUCCUUUGCACCAUCAACUGUCCAACAUCUGCAAGCUGCAAAGGUGGAAUGCAUUGGGUAUAUUAUAUGAAGAUGCAGGGCACAUCACAUGCACGGUUCAAAAAACGUGGCACUGUGCCAGUAACCAACGCCAAUAACCAAAGAGACCUGGAUACAUGCAAAAAGCUACAGCUACGAUUAUUUUAGAGGGAACAGAUUUUAUAGGCUGAGGCUUUUCUAUGUAAAGUAUGAAGAGAAAGAGAUAUGCUCAGCAUUCACAAUGCUUAUGUUACGCAAGGCCUCCAAGAAAUGUGGCCAAAGGACAACCUGCAGAAUCUGUGCACUCAAUCGGUGCUGUAAUCUCCAGAGUAAAAAGGUCACCUUUGCUGAAGUGCGAGAAACUGAAGCAACAGAAAGCUCCAAGACAUGAUAUAUGCAAGUCAUGUUUAGAGAAGCCGCAAAUAACAAAAGAAAGAAUAAAAAGUGUAUCCACAGUA